GAGUUUGAUCAUGGCUCAGAUUGAACGCUGGCGGUAGGCUUAACACAUGCAAGUCGUGCGAGAAAGUAUCUUCGGAUAUGAGUAGAGCGGCGGACGGGUGAGUAACGCGUAGGAAUCUACCUAGUAGAAGGGGAUAGCCCGGGGAAACCCGGAUUAAUACCGUAUACCUCCUUCGGGAGAAAGAAGGCCUCUCUUUGAAGCUUUCGCUACUAGAUGAGCCUGCGUAAGAUUAGCUUGUUGGUGAGGUAAAGGCUCACCAAGGCAACGAUCUUUAGCUGGUCUGAGAGGACGAUCAGCCACAUUGGGACUGAGACACGGCCCAGACUCCUACGGGAGGCAGCAGUGGGGAAUAUUGGACAAUGGGCGCAAGCCUGAUCCAGCCAUACCGCGUGUGUGAAGAAGGCCUUCGGGUUGUAAAGCACUUUAAGCAGGGAGAAGAAGUUAUAAGUUAAUACCUUAUAACCCUGAUGUUACCUGCAGAAUAAGCACCGGCUAAUUCCGUGCCAGCAGCCGCGGUAAUACGGAAGGUGCAAGCGUUAAUCGGAAUUACUGGGCGUAAAGCGCGCGUAGGUGGUUUGUUAAGUUGGAUGUGAAAGCCCUGGGCUCAACCUAGGAACUGCAUCCAAAACUAACUCACUAGAGUACGAUAGAGGGAGGUAGAAUUCAUAGUGUAGCGGUGGAAUGCGUAGAUAUAUGGAGGAAUACCAGUGGCGAAGGCGGCCUCCUGGCUCGACACUGACGCUGAGGUGCGAAAGCGUGGGAGCAAACAGGAUUAGAUACCCUGGUAGUCCACGCCGUAAACGAUGUCUACUAGCCGUUGGGAUCCUUGAGGUCUUAGUGGCGCAGCUAACGCAAUAAGUAGACCGCCUGGGGAGUACGGCCGCAAGGUUAAAACCCAAAUGAAUUGACGGGGGCCCGCACAAGCGGUGGAGCAUGUGGUUUAAUUCGAUGCAACGCGAAGAACCUUACCAGGUCUUGACAUCCCGAGAAGUCGCUAGAGAUAGCUUCGUGCCUUCGGGAACUCGGUGACAGGUGCUGCAUGGCUGUCGUCAGCUCGUGUCGUGAGAUGUUGGGUUAAGUCCCGUAACGAGCGCAACCCUUGUCCUAUGUUGCCAGCACGUAAUGGUGGGAACUCAUAGGAGACUGCCGGUGACAAACCGGAGGAAGGUGGGGACGACGUCAAGUCAUCAUGGCCCUUACGACCUGGGCUACACACGUGCUACAAUGGCCGGUACAGAGGGCUGCUAACCCGCGAGGGGGCGCUAAUCCCACAAAACCGGUCGUAGUCCGGAUCGCAGUCUGCAACUCGACUGCGUGAAGUCGGAAUCGCUAGUAAUCGUAGAUCGGAAUGCUACGGUGAAUACGUUCCCGGGCCUUGUACACACCGCCCGUCACACCAUGGGAGUGGGUUGCAAAAGAAGUGGGUAGCAUAACCUUCGGGAGUGCGCUCACCACUUUGUGAUUCAUGACUGGGGUGAAGUCGUAACAAGGUAACC
rnacentral:rRNA from 1 species